UACGUAGGGUGCAAGCGUUAAUCGGAAUUACUGGGCGUAAAGCGUGCGCAGGCGGUCCUUGUAAGACAGAUGUGAAAUCCCCGGGCUCAACCUGGGAACUGCAUUUGUGACUGUAGAGCUGGAGUACGGCAGAGGGGGAUGGAAUUCCGCGUGUAGCAGUGAAAUGCGUAGAUAUGCGGAGGAACACCGAUGGCGAAGGCAAUCCCCUGGGCCUGUACUGACGCUCAUGCACGAAAGCGUGGGGAGCAAACAGG
rnacentral:rRNA from 1 species